rnacentral:rRNA from 1 species
CCCUUAGAUGUUCUGGGCUGCACGCGUGCUACAAUGGCGUUUCCAGCAAGUCUGCGAACCCGAGAGGGCCAGCGGAUCUUCGAAUUGGCGUCGUGAUCGGGACAGUCGAUUGCAAUUAUUUGACUCAAACGAGGAAUUCCUUGUAAUCGCGAUUCAUCAUAUCGCGCUGAAUACGUCCCUGCCCUUUGUACACACCGCCCGUCGCUCCUACCGAUUGAGCGAUCCGGUAAAUGUUUUGGAUUGGCGCCGGGGCGGCUAGCUGCCGGUCGCUACGAAAUUUUGUGAACCUUAUCGCUUAGAGGAAGGAAAAGUCGUAACA